rnacentral:rRNA from 1 species
UACAGAGGUCUCAAGCGUUGUUCGGAUUCAUUGGGCGUAAAGGGUGCGUAGGUGGUGAUGCAAGUCUGGUGUGAAAUCUCGGAGCUUAACUCCGAAAUUGCACCGGAUACUGCGUUGCUCGAGGACUGUAGAGGAGAUCGGAAUUCACGGUGUAGCAGUGAAAUGCGUAGAUAUCAAGUGGAACACCAGUGGCGAAGGCGAGUCCCUGGACAACUCCUGACACUGAGGCACGAAAGCUAGGGGAGCAAACAGG